UGUGGGAGCGGGCUUGCUCGCGAAGGCGUCGUGUCAGGCGAUUCAAAUCUCGACUGAUCCACCGCUUUCGCGAGCAAGCCCGCUCCCACA
rnacentral:antisense_RNA from 1 species